GCAAGAGGGACUGCUCGUCGGAUGUUCUGUUCUCCAUACUGUAACAAAUGUUCAAGAGACCGAAUUGCCAUAUCAAUGCCUAGCUCCUCUGACAUAGCCACAAGACCUAUUCCGAGCACUGCAGAUCCCUGGUGGGUUUCACCUUUCUCAAGAUGUUGAGAACAGUAUCCUAGAAGUUUUUGGACCUUGAGGACAUUUCCUGUUCCAGCAUAGGCCAAGGAUAGAAGUGUGAUGUCACAGUAUUUCUGGAUUUUCUCGUUGAAGGUCUUAGAAACCUCUGCCGAAGCCUCAACACUUUCCUGCUUUCCAAGGUACAGAAGGCCAAGGGCUACAGGCAGCAGGCGAGAAAGUGGUUCCCCCAUUUCGUUGUCGCUGCGCACCAUUAAAGCAUGA
rnacentral:misc_RNA from 1 species